GAUGAACGCUGGCGGCGUGCCUAAUACAUGCAAGUCGAGCGAACGGACGAGAAGCUUGCUUCUCUGAUGUUAGCGGCGGACGGGUGAGUAACACGUGGAUAACCUACCUAUAAGACUGGGAUAACUUCGGGAAACCGUAGCUAAUACCGGAUAAUAUUUUGAACCGCAUGGUUCAAAAGUGAAAGACGGUCUUGCUGUCACUUAUAGAUGGAUCCGCGCUGCAUUAGCUAGUUGGUAAGGUAACGGCUUACCAAGGCAACGAUGCAUAGCCGACCUGAGAGGGUGAUCGGCCACACUGGAACUGAGACACGGUCCAGACUCCUACGGGAGGCAGCAGUAGGGAAUCUUCCGCAAAGGGCGAAAGCCUGACGGAGCAACGCCGCGUGAGUGAUAAAGGUCUUCGGAUCGUAAAACUCUGUUAUUAGGGAAGAACAUAUGUGUAAGUAACUGUGCACAUCUUGACGGUACCUAAUCAGAAAGCCACGGCUAACUACGUG
rnacentral:rRNA from 1 species